rnacentral:rRNA from 1 species
ACGAACGCUGGCGGCGUGCUUAACACAUGCAAGUCACGGGGGGUAGCAAUACCAACCGGCGAACGGGUGCGUAACACGUGAGCAACCUACCGAUUUGUGGGGGAUAGCUGGCCUAACGGCCAGGUAAUACCGCAUACGCUUGUAAAGUCUCCUGGCUUAACAAGGAAACCUCCGGGGCAAAUCGAGGGGCUCGCGGCCUAUCAGCUAGUUGGCGAGGUCAUGGCUCACCAAGGCGACGACGGGUAGCUGGUCUGAGAGGAUGGCCAGCCACAUUGGGACUGAGAAACGGCCCAGACUCCUACGGGAGGCAGCAGUGGGAAUCUUGCGCAAUGGACGAAAGUCUGACGCAGCGACGCCGCGUGGGGGAUGAAGGCUUUCGGGUUGUAACCCCUGUUGCCCGGGACGAACUUCUGCUUUCGAGCAGAUUGACGGUACCGGGUGAGGAAGCACCGGCUAACUCUGUGCCAGCAGCCGCCG